rnacentral:miRNA from 1 species
UGUUAUUUUUAGUCUUCUACCUAAGAAUUCUGUCUCUUAGGCUUUCUCUUCCCAGUUUUCCCAAAGUUGGGAAAAGCUGGGUUGAGAGGGCAAAAGGAGAAAAAAAAUAAUUCUGUCUCUGACACAGUUAAAUAGGGAA